rnacentral:rRNA from 1 species
GACGAACGCUGGCGGCGUGCUUAACACAUGCAAGUCGAACGGAAAGGCCCUGCUUUUGUGGGGUGCUCGAGUGGCGAACGGGUGAGUAACACGUGAGUAACCUGCCCUUGACUUUGGGGUAACUUCAGGAAACUGGGGCUAAUACCGGAUAGGAGCUCCUGCUGCAUGGUGGGGGUUGGAAAGUUUCGGCGGUUGGGGAUGGACUCGCGGCUUAUCAGCUUGUUGGUGGGGUAGUGGCUUACCAAGGCUUUGACGGGUAGCCGGCCUGAGAGGGUGACCGGCCACAUUGGGACUGAGAUACGGCACAGACUCCUACGGGAGGCAGCAGUGGGGAAUAUUGCACAAUGGGCGGAAGCCUGAUGCAGCAACGCCGCGUGCGGGAUGACGGCCUUCGGGUUGUAAACCGCUUUCGCCUGUGACGAAGCGUGAGUGACGGUAAUGGGUAAAGAAGCACCGGCUAACUACGUG